UUCCAAUAUAUUUCUGUUUUGAAAGUACCCUUCUUUUUUUAUUCUAUUUUAGAGGCAUUUAGAUGGGAUUUCCAUACCAUGUCCAUCCUGGGGACAUGAGUGCAUUUAUAGAAUACUCAGUUGUAUAUUUCCAUUGAGAGACUUUUCUUGGAAUGCUGGACUGCAGCGUGAAAGUUUUAGCUGUUGACUGGCUCAACUUUAAAGACGCUUCUACACACUGGAAAUUCUAUUAAGGUAUUUAUUUUAGAUGAAAAUAUAAUGGCAUUUUUAAUUACUCUUAAGUUUAUUAAUGCCACAAAGU
rnacentral:lncRNA from 1 species